rnacentral:lncRNA from 1 species
UAGGGAAACAGGGGUGGAUUUCAUGUUGCGCCUUUAUCCCACUUACCAGCGAAUAACUAGCUUAUCAGCCCUUAAGCGCAAAAAGUGGCUCCCACGUCGAAAUUAUUAGCGAAUAAGUCGGCCUUAUCGCGGGGUAAGUUAUGGUCAGGGGGGACCCGCCUUUACGCGGCUAUUAGGCGCAGAAAAAUGGCGACUGUAGUAGCUGUGCUCUCGCUAAACAGGCGAAAUCUUCGUCGAAACAGAAUAUUUAGGGACAACUAUAUCUUUACAAUGAUGUAGAAGUGUACACGAAAUUUGAAUUUCGUGGAGUUGAUAAAAUGUCUAUUGUCUAUGAGGUAGAAGAUGAAUUGGAAAUGUCGAAUCGAGGGAACAAUGUUCCCUCAAGCAGACGAUCGAGUAUGCUUUGCACUUCGCAACGGGAUCAUUUUUACGUGUGUGUGUGUGCGGCGAUUUGGUCGGAGUUUCCGAAGAGAAAUGUCACAUCGUGAGGAGAGUGACCAAACGCUACUACGACAUGCUCGACGAUGGAUCGUCUUUCCCGACUAGCGAGAGGCAGAGAGAAGGGAAAGUUCUGUGCCAGCGGUGGUUUUUCCGAGUGUUGUUGGAUACGUCGACGGGACGCAUAUCCACAUUCAGGCGGCGAAAAUAAUGAGCACCAGUACGUGAAUGGAAAAUAUUUUCAUUCACUGAAUGUUCAGGUUAAUGUUUAUCAACGUGCUUGCAAAGUGGCAUCCAGGGUGUCUGCAGCCUUUGGAAGCAACUGUAGACUAUUGGACAGGGUCAUGCUAGGUGACAGUGGCUGCAUGAUAGGAGAGUGAUUGUUGACACCAUUUCAGCAUCCUGCACCCUUGCAGGAAAGGAAAUACAACACAGCACAUAGCUGUACAUGCAACUGGCAUAGCUAAAAAGAGAUG